UACGUAGGGGGCAAGCGUUGUCCGGAUUUAUUGGGCGUAAAGAGCGUGUAGGCGGCUAGAUAGGUCCGUUGUGAAAACUCGAGGCUCAACCUCGAGACGCCGGUGGAAACCAUCUAGCUAGAGUCCGGAAGAGGAGAGUGGAAUUCCUGGUGUAGCGGUGAAAUGCGCAGAUAUCAGGAAGAACACCCGUGGCGAAAGCGGCUCUCUGGAACGGUACUGACGCUGAGACGCGAAAGCGUGGGGAGCGAACAGG
rnacentral:rRNA from 1 species